rnacentral:lncRNA from 1 species
CUCAAGGCAAAUGCCUGUAAAGCCAAAAGAAGUGCUCUGAGUCUCUGCUUGGUUUCUUCAUCUGUCAGCACACCGUUGCUGUCAAACUUCGGUGGUGACUCAAAUGCAUACACGAAAAGCUCAGGCUUGUUAAUGAAAUGAAGAUCAAGGUAGACUCCUAUCUGUCGGAGGUGAUAUUGUGAUCGUCCUCCACCAAAGCCACCUCCAGCACUCACAAUUGCAGCUGCUUUAUUAGCCCAAACAUUUGGAGGUCGAGAUGCCCAAUCAAUUGCAUUUUUCAAGGGACCUGCCCAAGGAGAAGGAAAUCAUAGUCAUCAGUAUCAAGAAUAUAAUCACAAGAAAUAAAAAUCCAUCAACACUAAUCCACCAACCUAUGGCUACUCGCAUAUCCAAGGCCUAAUCAACAAAUGGGGUUUGGAUCCAAACUAGGUGAUCAAAAAUAAGAGCAGAUCAAUUUUACCAGCAAAAUAAAAUUGAACUACGGAGAUAAAUGGAAACUCAAGGAUAAUUAAAUUUGAGAGGGAACUUGAGUCUGAUAAUAACUUGAAAAAUCUUAUACUCAAGACAGAUUUUACUUAUCCGGACAUUACAUCAAUCGCCAAUCGCAAUGAAACUUGCUAAGACAACCAAUCAAUUGACCAAAUGUUUCGAAAGUCUUAUAAGAAGAUAAUUUUUUCCUAUGAAAAGGAAAUGUCGAAUGAGAACAAUUCACCAUCCACAAUGCAUGAAGAAAUGGACCACAUUCACUGGUGGAAGUUAAUCACACUUGCCGUUGAGUCUCAAGGCAAAUGCCUGUAAAGCCAAAAGAAGUGCUCUGAGUCUCUGCUUGGUUUCUUCAUCUGUCAGCACACCGUUGCUGUCAAACUUCGGUGGUGACUCAAAUGCAUACACGAAAAGCUCAGGCUUGUUAAUGAAAUGAAGAUCAAGGUAGACUCCUAUCUGUCGGAGGUGAUAUUGUGAUCGUCCUCCACCAAAGCCACCUCCAGCACUCACAAUUGCAGCUGCUUUAUUAGCCCAAACAUUUGGAGGUCGAGAUGCCCAAUCAAUUGCAUUUUUCAAGGGACCUGCCCAAGGAGAAGGAAAUCAUAGUCAUCAGUAUCAAGAAUAUAAUCACAAGAAAUAAAAAUCCAUCAACACUAAUCCACCAACCUAUGGCUACUCGCAUAUCCAAGGCCUAAUCAACAAAUGGGGUUUGGAUCCAAACUAGGUGAUCAAAUACUCCGAUUGCAUUAAGAUGCACAGGCUAUGAUCACCUCAAGUCUUGCAGUCACAUCCAUUAAAGUAACAGAUAAUAAGAGUCACAAUGGUACAGCGCAAACUUGUCAAAUCAAAUGAGCCAAGUUAAUCCACAAAAGCACAUAAGAGAAGAUAUACCAUCAAUUCUCCAGAGUUAGAGCUAAUUUUGAUUCGAGGAACCUAGCAACCUAUUCUAAUUUUUGCCUAAAUUUUGACUAACAGUAAGAUUUUUAGAAAGAAUAAUCAUUUUAAGGACUACUUUUAGUACUCACCAUCUAUAGUGAACUUUUUUACUGUUAAUAGCUGUUGAGUCCUCUAAGGACUACUUCAAUGAAGACAGUCUAGGCUGAGCAGUAAUGUUUCGGUUUUCAAUUUAAGCCAGAUGUAACUUAUAGCUUGGUGUUGAUUUAACCAAUAAACCGAUUGAUAAGUUGAUAACCACCAAAUCAACAGAUAUCUAAGCGGUUGGGCUAGCGGAUUAAUACAUUUGAAAACUAAUAAAUCAAACCUUUAAACACAAAUAUCAAACCGAUCCGCCCGAUAAGCAGCCCUAGAUUUUAGUGGAGCAUCAAUUAGAUAACAAAUGAAAAAGAGCCAGGAGGGGAAAAUGGAUACCAGUGACAGAGUAAUUGUACUCUGGAGAAGCAAAAAGGUAACAAUCAGCUUGUUCAAUUUUCUUACGAAAAGCCUCGACUUCAGGUGGAUAAGUUCCGUCCACCUCAAGAUCAGUAUUCAGAAACGGCAACGGCGAAAUGUCCACGUACUCAAUUUCCA